UACGUAGGGUGCAAGCGUUGUCCGGAAUUAUUGGGCGUAAAGGGUGCGUAGGCGGUUUGGUAAGUCUGAUGUGAAAUCUAUGGGCUCAACUCAUAGUCUGCAUCGGAAACUGCCGGGCUUGAGUGUGGGAGAGGUGAGUGGAAUUCCUGGUGUAGCGGUGAAAUGCGUAGAUAUCAGGAGGAACACCUGUGGCGAAAGCGGCUCACUGGACCAUAACUGACGCUGAUGCACGAAAGCUAGGGGAGCAAACAGG
rnacentral:rRNA from 1 species